CGCCCCCGCGCCCCCCCGCCACGUCAGCAGCCAUCAGUGUCCCCAUAGGUGCCACACAAGUGCCCUCCUCGGUGGUGAACAGCUCUGGGGUGGUAAAGAUUGUGGUACGGCAAGCCCCACGGGAUGGCCUGGUGCCUGCCCCAGCCCUCCAGCAGCCUCCCCGCCCAGCUACAGCCACCUCGACCACCACCCUGCCUACCCUACCAGCUACCCUGAUGGCACAGCGAGCCCAGCUCCCUGUGGCACCCAUCCCGCCCGUGCGGCUGCCCACUCAACCGCUGGUUCCUGUGCGGACACCCACCCCACUCCAGGCCCUAGUGCGGCCCAUGAUACGGGUAGUGCAGGCACCAGUGCCCAGCAUGGAGCAGCCAGCACCAGCGCCACCUUCUCCUGUCCCGGCGGCCCCUCUCCCCAACCCUCCUGCCACCACCAUCGCCACUGUCAGCCUCCCCU